AUUAGAUACCCUGGGUAGUCCGCACGGUAAACGAUGGAUGCCCGCCGUUGGGUAUUUUUAUUCAGUGGCCAAGCGAAAGCGUUAAGCAUCCCACCUGGGGAGUACGCCGGCAACGGUGAAACUCAAAGGAAUUGACGGGGGCCCGCACAAGCGGAGGAACAUGUGGUUUAAUUCGAUGAUACGCGAGGAACCUUACCCGGGUUUGAACGUAGUCUGACCGGAGUGGAAACACUCCUUCUAGCAAUAGCAGAUUACGAGGUGCUGCAUGGUUGUCGUCAGCUCGUGCCGUGAGGUGUCGGCUUAAGUGCCAUAACGAGCGCAACCCUUAUCACUAGUUACUAACAGGUGAAGCUGAGGACUCUGGUGAGACUGCCAGCGUAAGCUGUGAGGAAGGUGGGGAUGACGUCAAAUCAGCACGGCCCUUACAUCCGGGGCGACACACGUGUUACAAUGGCAUGGACAAAGGGCAGCUACCUGGCGACAGGAUGCUAAUCUCCAAACCAUGUCUCAGUUCGGAUCGGAGUCUGCAACUCGACUCCGUGAAGCUGGAUUCGCUAGUAAUCGCGCAUCAGCCAUGGCGCGGUGAAUACGUUCCCGGGCCUUGUACACACCGCCCGUCAAGCCAUGGGAGCCGGGAGUGCCUGAAGUGCGUGAGCGCGAGCAGCGCCCUAGGGUAAGACCGGUGACUGGGGCUAAGUCGUAACAAGGUAAC
rnacentral:rRNA from 1 species